rnacentral:rRNA from 1 species
UCCAGACUCCUACGGGAGGCAGCAGUGAGGGAUAUUGGGCAAUGGGGGAAACCCUGACCCAGCGACGCCGCGUGAGGGAAGACGGUCUUCGGAUUGUAAACCUCUGUCUUUGGGGACGAAAAAGGACGGUACCCAAGGAGGAAGCUCCGGCUAACUACGCGCCAGCAGCCGCGGUAAUACGUAGGGAGCAAGCGUUGUCCGGAAUUACUGGGCGUAAAGGGCGCGUAGGUGGGCGCUUAAGUCAGGUGUGAAAACUCCGGGCUCAACCUGGAGACUGCACUUGAAACUGGGUGUCUUGAGGGCAGGAGAGGAAAGUGGAAUUCCUAGUGUAGCGGUGAAAUGCGUAGAUAUUAGGAGGAACACCAGUGGCGAAGGCGACUUUCUGGACUGUACCUGACGCUGAGGCGCGAAAGCGUGGGUAGCGAACGGGAUUAGAUACCCGGGUA